CACAAAGUGUGAACACACGCCUGGACUGGGACUCUUUAUGCAGGACCUGCAGCAUUGUGUGAUCUAAACACCAGGACUUUCAACUGAGCAGCCAAAGUAGACUGGAGGAGACUUCAAUGACUUCUAUGGGAGAGUUUUAGGCAUGCUCCGUGACCUGUGCAGAGAUUCUGAGCGGUGUUGAGGAUUUCAGGUCUGAGGAGGAGACGUUCUAGUGUCUACCUGCAGCGAGGCACCCAACACAAAACACUAAAGAUUUUCUCACUUCUGUUAUUCACAGAACUAA